rnacentral:rRNA from 1 species
UACGUAGGUGGCAAGCGUUGUCCGGAUUUAUUGGGUUUAAAGGGUGCGUAGGCGUCCUUAUAAGUCAGUGCUGAAAUAUCCCGGCUUAACCGGGAGGGUGGCAUUGAUACUGUAGGGCUUGAGUGUAGUCGAGGUAGGCGGAAUUGACGGUGUAGCGGUGAAAUGCUUAGAUAUCGUCAAGAACACCGAUAGUGUAGACAGCUUACUAGGCUACAACUGACGCUAAGGCACGAAAGUGUGGGGAUCAAACAGG